AUUGAACGCUGGCGGCAUGCUUUACACAUGCAAGUCGAACGGCAGCGCGGGCUUCGGCCUGGCGGCGAGUGGCGAACGGGUGAGUAAUGCAUCGGAACGUGCCCAGUAGUGGGGGAUAGCCCGGCGAAAGCCGGAUUAAUACCGCAUACGACCUGAGGGUGAAAGCGGGGGACCGAAAGGCCUCGCGCUAUUGGAGCGGCCGAUGUCGGAUUAGCUAGCUGGUGGGGUAAAGGCUUACCAAGGCGACGAUCCGUAGCUGGUCUGAGAGGACGACCAGCCACACUGGGACUGAGACACGGCCCAGACUCCUACGGGAGGCAGCAGUGGGGAAUUUUGGACAAUGGGGGCAACCCUGAUCCAGCCAUGCCGCGUGCGGGAAGAAGGCCUUCGGGUUGUAAACCGCUUUUGUUCGGGAAGAAAUCCUCUGGGCUAAUACCCCGGGGGGAUGACGGUACCGGAAGAAUAAGCACCGGCUAACUACGUG
rnacentral:rRNA from 1 species